GCAUCAGUGGUCUAACGGUUAUGAUCCGGUCUUCCCAUAGUUUCGCUAUGUAUGUAGUUCUUCUGGCCGGGAAAGGGGUUCGACUCCCCUCUGAUGCA